UACGUAGGGUGCAAGCGUUAAUCGGAAUUACUGGGCGUAAAGCGUGCGCAGGCGGUUCGCUAAGACAGAUGUGAAAUCCCCGGGCUUAACCUGGGAACUGCAUUUGUGACUGGCGGGCUAGAGUAUGGCAGAGGGGGGUAGAAUUCCACGUGUAGCAGUGAAAUGCGUAGAGAUGUGGAGGGAUACCGAUGGCGAAGGCAGCCCCCUGGGCCAAUACUGACGCUCAUGCACGAAAGCGUGGGGAGCAAACAGG
rnacentral:rRNA from 1 species